rnacentral:rRNA from 1 species
CACCCGCAGCUCGAGUGGUGGUCACUUUUAUUGAGCCUAAAGCGUUCGUAGCCGGUUUUGUAAAUCUCCAGGAAAAUUCUUCUGCUUAACAGAAGACCUUCUGGAGAGACUGCAGAACUAGGGACCGGGUGAGGUUGAAGGUACUUUCUGGGUAGGGGUAAAAUCCUGUAAUCCUGAAAGGACGACCGGUGGCGAAGGCGUUCAACUAGAACGGAUCCGACGGUGAGGAACGAGGGCUAGGGGAGCAAACCGG